rnacentral:misc_RNA from 1 species
GAUGAAGAACGCAGCAAAAUGCGAUAAGUAAUGUGAAUUGCAGAAUUCAGUGAAUCAUCGAAUCUUUGAACGCACAUUGCGCCCGCCAGUAUUCUGGCGGGCAUGCCUGUUCGAGCGCCAUUUCAACCCUCAAGCACAGCUUGGUGUUGGGACUCGCGUUAAUUCGCGUUCCCCAAAUUGAUUGGCGGUCACGUCGAGCUUCCAUAGCGUAGUAGUAAAACCCUCGUUACUGGUAAUCGUCGCGGCCACGCCGUUAAACCCCAACUUCUGAAUGUUGACCUCGGAUCAGGUAGGAAUACCCGCUGAACUUAAGCAUAUCAAUAAGCGGAGGA